CCUACGGGUGGCUGCAGUGGGGAAUAUUGCACAAUGGGGGAAACCCUGAUGCAGCGACGCCGCGUGAGCGAGGAAGUAUUUCGGUAUGUAAAGCUCUAUCAGCAGGGACGAAAAAAGACGGUACCUGACUAAGAAGCCCCGGCUAACUACGUGCCAGCAGCCGCGGUAAUACGGAGGGGGCAAGCGUUAGCCGGAUGUACUGGGUGUAAAGGGAGCGUAGACGGCUGUGCAAGUCUGAAGUGAAAGCCCGUGGCUCAACCGCGGAACUGCUUUGGAUACUGUCUGGCUUGAGUACUGGAGAGGCAGGCGGAAUUCCUAGUGUAGCGGUGAAAUGCGUAGAGAUUAGGAGGAACACCAGUGGCGAAGGCGGCCUGCUGGACAGAAACGGACGUUGAGGCUCGAAAGCGUGGGGAGCAAACAGGAUUAGAUACCCCUGUAGUC
rnacentral:rRNA from 1 species